CUAUCUUGGUAUUGUGGCUUUUCGUUUCCAUCCUUCCUGUCCUUCUAAGGACCACGAUUACGUCACGAUCACUUGACACUUUUAAGUCCCCGCCCUGUAACAUUUAACUGCUUUUGAGGGGUACGUUCAAAUGAAGGAAUAAAAGUGGUAACGGAUUCUUGACAGUUGAUUUGCUCUGGUAAAUGAUGAACUACGAAUAGAAUCUGCAGCUUACUUCCAUGCCUGAAACACUUCCAAAGCUCUGGAUUCAGAAAUUUCCUGAGGAGAGAAAGAAGAAGAGGAGCAGCUACUUGGUUCUUGAAAAACGUACCCGUUUGAAUUUUGACGGUUUGAAAAUAGAUUUGAUAGAAAGUCUUCUCUCGCACAUUUAAGAUCUUUGUCUCCAUCUGACCUGCGUUCGGGGAUUAUGGACAGCUGGCCACACCCUUUACAGAACUUUGGGGCUUUGCAGAGUCUAGCGGGAACUGCCUGCAUCUUCCUGCGACACAGCAUCGCCAUUACUCAGAUCGACAGAGAGCUGAGGCCCGAGGAAUUAGAAGGAGAUUGUUGGUGUUCUCUGCGGAGCUGACUGUACAGCCGAGUGACCUUUUCCACCUUGUUUUAAAAAAAGGAAAUUUUAUUUUUAGUGUUUUGAAUGAUGUUCAUCAUGACAUAAAAACUUCAUGGAGAAUAAUGUUCUUCUGUUAUUUUUCAACAUUACAAAGUUCAUGUAAAAAA